AGUUGGUGGAGUGAUUUGUCUGGUUAAUUCCGAUAACGAGCGAGACCUCAGCCUGCUAACUAGCUGCGACAAUCUCCGGAUUGUUUGAAAGUGGCUUCUUAGAGGGACUAUCGGUGCGUAGCCGAUGGAAGUUUGAGGCAAUAACAGGU
rnacentral:rRNA from 1 species